rnacentral:ncRNA from 1 species
CGUUGGAUGAUUGAGAGGGGCUGCUCCUAGUACGAGAGGACCGGAGUGGACGAACCGCUGGUGUUCGGGUUGUGUCGCCAGACGCAUUGCCCGGUAGCUAAGUUCGGAAUCGAUAACCGCUGAAAGCAUCUAAGCGGGAAGCGAGCCUCAAGAUGAGUCAUCCCUAGACCUUUAAGGUCUCUAAAGGGUUGUUGAAGACUACAACGUUGAUAGGUCGGGUGUGUAAGUGCUGCGAGGCAUUGAGCUAACCGAUACUAAUUGCCCGU